rnacentral:rRNA from 1 species
UGGGCAACGGUAGGUCAGUAUGCCCCGAAUAUCCCGGGCUACACGCGAGCUACAAUGGUUGGUACAAUGGGUAUCUACCCCGAAAGGGGACGGGAAUCUCCUAAAACCAAUCUUAGUUCGGAUUGAGGGCUGCAACUCGCCCUCAUGAAGCUGGAAUCCGUAGUAAUCGCGUUUCAACAGAACGCGGUGAAUACGUCCCUGCUCCUU